UUGUUCCGGAUCCGAAAUUUCAAUCGUCUGUGGUUCCCUCGCAUCUCACAUCCGCCCUCACCCCACGCCUUCUGCCGCCUCCCCCGCACCUCCCCGCCUCCACCCAUCUCGCCGACAGCAACCCCCUGCCAUGCCACAGGGCUAGGGCGACAGGCCGGGCCGAGCCAACGGCAGGCGGCAAGGCGAUGCACCGGGCGGAGCGGCCGGCGGGCGCGACGUGGCACUCUCGGCGGAGUGGGCGGCGUCGGCGGCGAGGCGGCGCUCCAGGCGGAGAGGCGGCGCGCUGGCCGCAUGCCCGCCGUAAGGAUCUGGUCGGCGACCUCCAAACGGAGCUCGAUGGCCGCCGCGAGCCAACGCGCCCGGCGGAGCGGCCAGCAGGCAGCGGGGUCGCGUGCAUAUCUCUCUUCCUCCCGCCUGAUCCCUAGAUCUAGGAUGGGGCAAGGGCGGCGCGGGCGAGGGAGGCCGCGGCGGCCGGCACCGGCGAGCGGCAACCCCCUGCAAGGGCGCGCGCAAGGGCGCACACAAGGGUGCACGCCGGCCCCCCGGCGGCACGGCCAUGAUCUGCGCGGCGGCGGCCCCCGGUGACGGCGCGCGGCGCCGCCUCCCGUGGAGGCCCACGCGACGGCAACCAGGCCGCCGCCGCGGCGGUCUCCAGGUCAUGGCGAACCUCUUCUUCCCGUCGCCCCUCCACCUCGCCCGCCCCCGACGCCCUCCUCCACUCCGACUCCUCCGCCGCCAUCAACCGCGCUCCCCUCCUCCGCUUCCAGGAAGGGAGCUCCAGUUCUUCUUCAAGAUCAGGAUGCAGAUGUUCGACCCGCCCACUGAUCUCCCUCGCUGGUGUGCAUGGCGAGCGCGAUGGCAACGGGCCGUGGCCACCGGCGGCUAAAGCUGCCUCGAUGCACUGUCAUUGAAGAUGAAGCGUGAGGCAGCAGAGGGAGCGCCCGUGAUGCUAGCGUUGAUCUGCCUCAAUGUAUGUGUACUCAAAUGGGAGCUCACUUUCCUGAAUUUCUGGAAUGCUAGCGUUGAUCUGCCUCAAUAUGUGGUGCUGACCGUAAUGCAUUGCGCUGUGAAGCAGCCCACACAGUCUUCAGUGGAUGAUUGGCAUCAUAAAUCACUGGUCUUGGAGAAUCAUACUGAAAUUUGGAUGCUGGGAUAAUAAGGUGCAGUGGAUUCAGACGUCACCUUGGCAUGUCACCUUUUGUGCUUGCAGGUUCUCCAACUAUUUACUGGUAGCCAUGUCUUUGAUAUAUUUCUUUGGAUUCCAGAUGCAGCACUUUAGGUGGUGAUACUAAAUUAUCAAUUAAUCACAUGAAGCGUUUUACAUUUUGAAAAGGUUUUUUCCAUAUCGUGAGAUAAUCAACCCAAUAUUAUUGGCUGAGAUUGCAUCAACAUGUCUUUUCUAGAAAAUUUCGUUUUGGCUCCCACUGUAAAGAAAUCAUAUUAUCUUUUACCCUGUUUAUAAGUUCUAGAGUGAGCGAAACUAUGAACGGUGAUUCUGGACAUAAUUAAAUAUCUUCUCGAUUUUUUUUGGAUUUGAUGAUUCAGAUGCCUCUGCUGGUGAUAUAUGACUGCUUGCAUCGCUUCAUUCAGGAUCAGCUUGUGGGACAGAUCCACCUUGGUAUUUUUUUUUGGUAUAAACAAAGAACAAUCCCUUGGCAUUUGUCUCCAAAAGAUGUUCAUAUUAUUGACUGACGAGAUGUAGCAAUAAAAAUGCUGUCAAUUCUGUCAGCAAGUCCUGUUCUUACUGUCAUUGAAUGCUGAUGUUUUUUUUCUCACAUUUAUUCUUUACAUGGUUCCUUCUUAUGCAAUCGUUAUCUUUUCAUUCAUUGUCGAUCUGCUUAUUUGUCUUCCUCACUCUGACGGAAUGCCUGUGUUAUGUCAUAAUCUUUAUUAUUGUCCUACGACACUGUUGAUUUAUCUUUGAUUAGGAACUAACUGUACCAAUGGUGCUAUUUUGUAAUUGUGAUUGGCUCUAGGUGCUCAAAGGCUAGCCAUCCUGUCUCUCCACGCCAGCCUGUUGCAGUUUGUAGAUUAACAAGAGCAUUUUCUGAAUGUGUAGCCAUAACUCUUCCUAAAUAAUGUGUAGAUUGGCAAGAGCCAAGAGCUUCCUGAAAUUUUGUUUUGCGCACCUGAAGCUACAGAAUUGAAAAGUUUGGCACCUUCAAGCUGUUUAUAUUCAGGCUAUAUUGGUAUGUAUACUGAUGAGUGGAUUCUUUUUUUUAAGCAUAUCAUCUGACAUGGUCUUCUGAUAACUUAAAUGCAGUACAUAUUAUCAGUGAUUAUAUUAGGUGCCUUUCCCAAACUCUUUGUUUCUGAUCCUGUUUUCAAUCAGUGCAUAUAUUAUGUAUUCCUAAUGAGCAAAAUUUUUUAUACUGUUGCAGGUUUUAAAGAUUGGCAGAAUAGAACUAUUUAGCGUGGUGUCCCAAAUUCUUUUGUUUUAUUUAGUGUAUAUUAUUAUUACACAUAAAUAUUACAUGUGUUGUUUUCUUUUACCCGUAGUGUUAGCACGGGCCAACUAACUAGUAUCAUUAGGUAGCAAUCUAUUCUUAGAAUUACCAAUAGUACAUAUGAACGAGUUUACCUUAUCAUCAAUGGUCGUAUCCGAAGGUAUCAUGUUCUCAUCAUUCUUCCCCAGCGGAGUCGCAAAAAAUAUGUUGACACAAAUUUGGUCAAUACACAACAAGUGCUAGAGCGCACGGAUCGCAGCGAUCAAUCACCAGCAGGCCCCAAAUGGCGAUUGGUCAGACCGGUCAUGCCAACCAGUCAGGCUGGUUGGAUGCAGAAAACCCGUGAAGACUUAGAACCUCAAGCUCGAAGAUCUGGGGUUGUUUUGAGGUCAGCAGGCCACUCAUGACACUCUUGAACACUGUAGAGACGCAAGAAGAACAACAAAGAAGUUGGAAAAGCUAGGGUUUGGAAAAAAAGGUAAAGAGAAUUGUAUUGAUUCGAUUGUGGUUUAAAACCCUUAAUCGGCCGUAGCCUUUAUAUUUAUAGGCCGGGAGGAUGUACUUCUUCCAAAUUGGGUUGCAAAAGGACUCGAAUUAUAAA